rnacentral:tRNA from 1 species
GUCGGAGUGGCGGAAUUGGCAGACGCGCUAGCUUGAGGUGCUAGUGCCCUACUUAAUGGGCGUGGGGGUUCAAGUCCCCCCUCCGACA